rnacentral:lncRNA from 1 species
GAAGUAACAAGGAUCCUAUUAUUGAAGAACCACAGACACCAGAGCCAGAAUGCCCACAGAUUUCUGAAAUUGACAUUGAGGAUACUUUAUACGAAGACCCUGAUGAGAUUCCUACAAUAAAGCUUAAUAUUGAAGCAUUCACUAAGCACGUACAGAAUUACAUGCAAGAAAAUAUGGAACUUCAGGAAGGUAGCAUGUCAAAGGCGCUUGUCCUCUUAAGUCCAGAAGCAGCAUCAAUUCCCAUGCCUAAGCUUAAAAAUAUCAGUCGACUGAGAACAGAGCAUCAAGUGUAAGUUCACAGUUCCCAGUUCUAAAAGAUAAAAUCGUUAACCAGGAGAAGUCUUGUCAGAUAAAGGAAUAACUGGAGAAACAAAAUGGUGUUGAAAUAUUUCGUGAAUGUGGAGAACAAUUGUUAGAUUUACUAGUAUUACUAUCAAUUUCAGAAUCAGGCUAUGAUUGUAUUUUACCAUCAUGCAGUUAUGAACUUCCAGACUCCCAUCCUCUUCUGGAAAAGGUUAGUUACAGACGAAGCUGAAGUGUUUAUUCAUGCUGUGCUUAAAGUUGUCUAAUUGUUUUAAUUCCUCUGUAAUUACAGUUACAAUUGGAGCGGCGCGAACCUGAUGAUCCAUGCUUCUACCUUCUUGCAAUAUGGACACCAGGUAAAAAUAAAAAUUAACUAACAUGCUGUCCAGACUUCAGACUCUGUCAGAAGAUAUUAAAAGAAUAUUGAACAUAUUCAUCAAUGUUCUCUACUUUUAACCAAACAAUUGUAUAUAAUAAAUAAUAAUUCUGCUUCAUUUCAAUAGACUUUUUGAGGACAAGUGGAACAAAAAGGUUUCUUAUGUGGAUGGUAUACAUGGAUUUAAAAAACUUCUUUUGUUACCACGGUCUUUCCACGAUUACUUGAAAUUGAUUUAUUUCACUUAGUUGGAGUCCCUCCUUCUAAAGGGAGCUUCCCCUUUUCUUGUGGACUUGUUUUUUCUUUUUGUGCCCAUGUAUUCUUUCAAUUUUUUCCCAACAAAAGUUGUUGUUUUCCUUAUAUAUAUAUAGAGAGAGAGAGUUUAUUUCAUUUUAUUUUUCUUCUUUUUUUUUUUGACGGUUCAUCACAACCCCUAACUUGAGGUUGUUAGUUUUUUUUGGCAUGGAGUAUAUAUUUAUUAUUAUUAAAAGAAACGAGUUCAAUUAGGUGAAGAUGAAAUCAUCAACAUCAAGAUGUUAAUUGGUGUCUUAUCCACUAAGUUAUGCUCAAAUUAGCUGGUGUGGAUAUAUUCAUUUAUACAUUUUUUAUCCCAAUAAAAUAAAAUGGUUGUUGUUUCAUCAGGAGAGACUGCAAAUUCUGUUGAACAACUACAUGCACAUUGUAGUUCUCAAGAAAGUGGCGGACUGUGUGGAGAAAAAGAAUGUUUCUCAUGCAAUAGUGUUAGAGAACCUGAUUCUGAAGUCGUUAGAGGAACACUUCUGGUGAGGGGCCGCUAAUACACACAAUUAUCCCCAUAUAUCUGACUAAGCUAAUAGCUAACCAAUUGCAAUGAUAGAUCCCAUGUCGAACAGCAAUGAGAGGAAGCUUUCCGCUUAAUGGAACUUACUUCCAAGUUAAUGAGGUAACAAGGAGUUCUAACAUGGCUUUAUUAUUUCACAUGAAGCUCACUUUAAGUAUCGCAACAUGCAUGAAUAUUGUUUGUGUAGAAACGUGAAGCCAAACUAACAGUGAACUCAUCCUUAUGCAGGUAUUUGCUGAUCAUGAUUCUAGCCUUAACCCAAUUGAUGUUCCUAGGAGUUGGUUAUGGAAGCUCUCAAGGCGGACAGUGUACUUUGGAACAUCCAUACCAACAAUAUUCAAGGGUGUGUAUUGUAAAAGGCUAUGGUUUCUUUUAUCGUUUCUCUUUGAGUGUCAGUGUCUCUGAGAAAUGCAUUUUUCAUUUACUAGGUUUAUCAACCGAAGAGAUUCAAGGUUGCUUCUGGAAAGGUAACAAUAUCUAAGUCUAUAGAAGAGUCUUUUGGAACUUCUUUUGAUAAUUAGGAGGAUAUUUAAUCAAAUUCAUCGAAUUUAUUUCCUACAAAGUGAAAUGAAGCUCGAAGUUUCCAAUGCAUCAUACAUGCUUAUAGACUAGUUGAUUGAUUUUACAACUUACCAUCUCUUUCUAACAUCGGUCCUAAACUAUAUGUUGGGAUAUUUGGGAGGAGAGGAAUGAUAGGGUGUUUAGAGGGAGGAAAGGGAUCCUUGGGAGGUUUGGGAUUGGAGUACAUUUCACUAUCUCUUUGAGCUUCGGUUUCGAAGCUUCUUUGUAAUUAUUCUUUAGGAAACGUUUCCUUUGGUUGGACCCCCGUUCUUUAGUUGGGGUGUUUUGUUGGGCUAGGUUUUUUUUUAUGCCCUUGUAUUCUUUCAUUUUUUUUCAAUGGAAGUUCUUACUUCAAAAAAAAAAAAAAAGUAAUUUCUUGAUUGUUUCUACAUCUUUCCUUUCUCCAAGACAACUAAAAAAUUUGAUGAAAAUAUGAUUCGACAUCUGUGUUUUACAACUCCUUGACUUGUUAAAAUGAUAUUUUAUUCUCAAUCCAUAACUUCUAAAAUUGGUUCUUUUGUUUAAAAAGCACGUCCCAUAGAAUCAUAUGUACUCACAGUUUCAUCUGGCCAACUCCAACUGUAGCACCUAAGUUUCUUGUGGCCAUCAAGACAUGCCACUAUUUAAUCCCCCACAUUCCGCAAUGACUAAAUCACAACCAAGUAGAGUGUCAAGCAUCCAAAGGAAAUUUUUUUUGAUCGAGUUGAUCCAACUUCCAGGGGCUAUAGAGUCAGACUCACCGAAUCAUCCAAAGGCAAAGCCUUCUCCAUUUCACUGCAUUGGAGCUCAGAGCAAUGAUCACGGAUAUUUUCAGGCCUUUCUUGCACUUUGCCACUUAAACAGAAUUUUUCAAGGAACUAAGAGUUGAUCAUAUUGCAUGACUCGAAAAAAACAAGCAAGAAUGGCUACUCAAUAGAGUUAGUUAAGCUUGAUUACAAUGGAAACAGUCGCAUAUUGAUCCCUACAGGUGAACAAAGGAAGGACAUAUUGGUUCCUCCAGGAGAAAAAAGAAAGAGCCUCGCCAUAUUUACAAAUUAAAUGUCGCAGCACCCAUUAAAGGCAGCCACAGAGCCACCUACAAGGAAGUUAUUCUUGAUACCAAAGUGUAACAUGUGGAAGAAAUCAGCAAAAGGAACAAAACUUUUAUUAAGAAUUUACAAAGUCCACACUUUGGAGAGCACUUUUUUACUCUCUCAAGACGCUCAACCACUUUUCACUCUGACUCUCUUGUUUUUCUUUCUUCCUCUCUUUGCUUGUUUUCUUUUACAAAUGGGGAUGCAACUCCUAUUUAUAAGUGCGAGAUCUUGAGCUUAAGCUAAGGAUUUUUCUGGAUUUCUCUUGGAUCUAUACUAUGCUAGAUAUCUUCUAUGUCAUUAUAACUAUCCAAAGGAAUUCUAAUUCCUUUGAUCCUAAAGAAAUCCUAGGUUAUUUCUAGAAUAUUUCUUAUAAGAUAUUUAGUUACAUACUUCUAGAUAAAUCUAGAGAUGUCUUGUACUUACACUAAGUUAGAUACUUCAAGAACCUUCCGGACUAGUUAGUGUUGUCUUUUACUUCAACAAAACAUGCCACCAAAGAGAAGGCCGGUGAACAAAGCAUACUAAUAUACUCUCCCAUCUCAAUUCAUGCACGGCUUGUCCCUUACGACAUGAAUAACAUUAUUGUACCAAGGAGGAAAAAUUGUAACGAUGACUGGUUCAACACUCUUAGAUCCUUCAAAAUGAACGUUACAGCAUAUUGAACAAGUAGUACCCUCCUACAGUGGAUGGAUCAAAGCUUGGGGCUUGCCUAUUGAUAGCGUAGCAUGGUGACUUGAACGAGGAUGGAUAUAAUGGAAGUCAACCUCAAAGUGCAAAUAUACUGAAAUAGGGUUACUUCCCGCCAAAAUCAACCUUUUUGUCUUCCUCGGCCAUUUUUAUUUGUUUGUAUCUACCCAUUCUUCGACAAAGAUUCUCAUAUUGGUGUGGUUGUCUAGUGAAACCUCCGACCAUAAAGAGCCGAAAAAAUGAGACAAAGAAAAAUCUAAAACCUUAGGCUUUCAUUCCAAAAGAGAGGGCGUUAAAGAAUGAUUAGUAUGCAUCAUGAGACAUCAAAUUUGACAAAAAGGAGGUCAACAUAUCCAUUCAGGCUCGUGCAGACCUACCACAUGAAAAACUCAAGCUUAAUGUACUUUCAAUGAUAAACCAUCAUCUUCACCUUCUAUGGGCCGUUCUCAUAAGUUGUACUCUACCUUCUAUCUCCACGAAACCUUGCACCCAACUAGUCGCUAUUAGUUCCAAGGUUUAUUCUUUAUGUUUCAAUGGUAAAAUAUUUUGUUUUUGAAAGUUUUCCUAUAAAAAGAAUUAGAUUUAAAUCUUAUCUUGUUUCAUGAACUUAAAAUCAUUCUAUUUUCUAUUUUGUUUGAAUGAUUUUCUAUUUUGAUUCCCAAAGGUUGAGGUCAUUUUGCCUGCUUGAACUUUUAAAAGAGAAUCUUUUCAGUUUCUGCUAUUAAGUUUUCGUUAAUUGUCGAACAUAUGGAUAAUAUAGGAUGUGUAUUUGUUGGUGAUAUAUAAUUAAAUUUGCCUUCAACCACCAGUAUAAGCUUUUGGGUGAAUCGGUGAUUUAAUAUGGUAUCAAAGCAGGUGGUCCAGGGGGUUUGUUCAAACCCCCGCACUGCUGUUUCCUCCCCAAUUAUAAACAAUUUUCACUUAUUGGGCCUUUCAAAUAUUUCAAGCCUUCAAGUGAGGGGAGUGUUGGUGAUAUAUAUGUGAUAUAUAAUUAAAUUUGCCUUCAACCACCAGCUUAAGCUUUUGGAUGAAUCGGUGAUUUAAUAGUAUUAACAUGCUAACAUCACCCAUGCAUGUUGGCUAAGGUAGAGGUAUUAAGGGGACUGAUACUGGGUGGCUGAGUAUUGGGAGCCUCUUUAGCUAAGUCAAGCUACAACUACAUCAGUGUAGAGGAGAAAUAUGUGUUUGGUAAGUGUAAAGGAGAAAUAUGUGUUUGGUAAAUUAAACAGGGAAUCCCCACACAAAGUAGGUUUCUAGUCUCGGAAAAGUGGGCAAAUGAGCUGAGAAUGCUGACCUUGGAUGCUUAAAAAAACUACACAAAAAAACUUGCUGAAAUUCAACCAAGGCACUUUGGUUACGAGGCCAAAUGAGCCAAUUAGCUGAUAGAGUUUAUCUUUGAUUUUUCAUGAGACCAUUAAAUUAUGUUGGAAUCACCUGAAGCACUAAGGGCCCUGGAAGUGGCCAAUCCUUCUCUCUCUAAACCUUGGUGUGCCAGGAAAUAGAUACUAGAGAUCCAAGCCUCCAAAAGAUCUCUACAAUAAUUGUUUCAUUCCACAAGGUAGGUUUGUUCUGUAAACUUCCACGUCCAAAUUCUCCCAUUAUUCCACCCCACUAUCAUUAGAGCCCCCCCCCCCCCCCCCCCCCCCCCAAAUAAAGGUUUUUUACCAUUCUUCUAUCCACACUCAGUUCCUAAUACUUUCUCUUUACAUAUAUAAACAACCCAACUUCAAUAAAUGAAAAUAUAACAUAAACCAAGCACAACUGAAUUGAAACAGCCAAAAUCUGAGUACCUUUAACGUUUGGCGAUGAAGAAAAAUGGAGUAACACAUUCUCUAACCAGAAUCACGUUCACUAAAAAAUUGUUUCUUUUAUGACAUCCGAGAAAAUGGAAAGAUAAGUUUGAAGAAGAUAGAAGUAUGGGGAGCAUCCUUAUAGAAAGUAUAAACUUUCCACAACCCAAACAGCUAAUUGCUUCAAGUCUACUUAAAUUCAUGACUUCCUCUGAAGCUAUACAGAAGAGGAUAGUACAACUUUGUAUUUCUCACAAAUGAGUGAUAAUAAU